UGUAGUCCUAAGGAAAGACAGAGGGGUAGGGAGAAAGGAGCCUUGGCCCCUUCCAAAAUGAAAUCUUUUUUCAUUUCAAUUAAAAUUAAUUGGCUUCAAUAAUCAAGUGGCUCUUAGCCACAUUUCAUGCUUCUCAUCCCCACCACUUCCACCAUUUCCUCAUGCCUCAUCAUUUCUUUGAAACUUCAAUUCUUAAAAUCAUAUCCCACCUUCACAACAACAAAACCUGUAUACUCUACUAAAAAAAUGCUCCCACGUAAGGCAUAAUUGCCUAGAUUCAUGCUAUUGUCCAUUGUAUCUCACUCUCUCUCUAGGGAGGAAACAGUGUGGGACACUACAAAUCAGUAGAAAAAAAGGAUCACUUUACAUAAGGCUCAAAAGGGAAGAUUUUGCACCUGAUAUGAAAGGCAAAAGGGAUUGACAUCUGGAGAGAAAUGGAUUGCUUAGUUUGGCAUCUUAGCAAAGAUUUGCAAGAGACAUACAAAUAAGAAACUCAUUGAUUUGAGAGGAUCAGAUGUUUUGCUGUGGAAAAAGAAUGGCAUGUGUUGGUUGAAAAAGAAAGGAACCGUUAAUUGCUCAAGGUUUGGUAAGAAUAUGCUUGUACUAUAUUUUGGAUUUUCGGACACUGUUCGCAGUUAAAAAAUAACACGUAAUGGAAUGUUGGGCGGUUAGGUGCCUUACAUAUUGGUGUUUCUUUAUAGCUGGACUCUCUGCCUAAGCAUUCCUCCUCUUUCGUUCUCUUUAAACUAUCGUUCGUGUUCCUAAAAGAGGGCGGACACGCAUUUGGAUCGUUACAUGAAUCUUGAUUUAUGCAUCUGUCUGACUUUCUGGUUGAAUCUUGAAGGCGAAAUAAUCAAGAUGACACGACGAUGAAGGAAACCAUUUUCAUGAGGGUAUUGUUCUGCAAGAUCCACUGUCCAUUGAUGUGCUUCUGCAAGCCCUCUGCUGCUCAUCUCUACACUUCAAAGCCAUUGAAACUGGAAAGUGCUCCACAUGUUGCUCCUUCGACAGUUUAUGCUAAGGAAGAAGAGUGUGUCGAAGCGAGGGUUGAAGCUGCUGUGGUAAAAAGCUGCAUACGGAAGUCCUGUCUUCGCCCUAACUCCACCAGAGGGAUUGGGAAGAAAAAAGUGCAGUGGAUGGACCACCUGGGGAAGGAACUUGCUGAGAUCAGGGAAAUUGAAUCAAGUGAGUCUGGAGAUACUGAUAACGAAGAUGAAAGCAGCCGUUGUCUCUGUGCCAUUCUCUGAGGCUGCUGCUCCGUCUCUGACUUGACAAUAUGCAGUGGGAUAUUACGGCUCUUGAAGAGAGCAGAGGUGAUCAAUCUGCUACUUUGGCUUCAUUUUUGCGUCGUUCGACUGCUGAUCUCCGCUUCUAAUCCAGCCGAUCUGUCUGCCGAUUGUACAUCAUCAAUUCUUUGUUACAAAGAUGAAAUCCUACAUCAGUGGCUACUGUAUUAUCACUGCUAACACCAAACUCCGUUUGAGAAUUGUUACAUUCAAUUUAAUAUGCUUACAUGCAAUUUGUGUCAUUGCAAACUCAAAA